rnacentral:rRNA from 1 species
UACGUAGGGUGCGAGCGUUAAUCGGAAUUACUGGGCGUAAAGGGCGCGUAGGCGGCUCUGCACGUCCGUUGUGAAAUCGCCCGGCUCAACUGGGCGGGGUCAGCGGAUACGGCAGAGCUCGAGCAAGCUAGGGGGCAAUGGAAUUCCCGGUGUAGUGGUGGAAUGCGCAGAUAUCGGGAGGAACACCAAUGGCGAAGGCAGCUUGCUGGGACGGUACUGACGUUGAGGGACGAAGGCUUGGGUAUCGAUAAGG